rnacentral:tRNA from 1 species
GCCCAAGUGGCGCAGUGGUAGCGCAGCCGACUUGUAAUCGGCAGGUCAGUGGGUUCGAAUCCCCUCUUGGGCU